UGCUUUCAGACUACGUCCGUGUCCCAAAUACCCAGAAUUUGCGUUCGAAACAGUUAGAUUUUUGGGUAAUGCGAAAACACAUGUGACUUCUGCUAUCGGAACACGAAGAUCACGAGAUAUAAAGCCUGGUCUAGAAGCACAAAUGUUGCAUUGUGGUCUGAUUGUGUACUGAUCUGGUGGCAUUAAUGCGGAUGAAUCCUUAGUCUGGACGCCAUUCAGGCUACCGAAAGCAGGUACAUUAGCAGGUACAGUGGGCAACAUCAUUAGCAGGUACAGUGGGCAACAUCAUUAGCAGGUACAGUGGGCAACAUCAUUAGCAGGUACAGUGGGCAACAUCAUUAGCGGGUACAGUGGGCAACAUCAUUAGCGGGUACAGUGGGCAACAUCAUUAGCAGGUACAGUGGGCAACAUCAUUAGCAGGUACAGUGGGCAACAUCAUUAGCGGGUACAGUGGGCAACAUCAUUAGCAGGUACAGUGGGCAACAUCAUUAGCAGGUACAGUGGGCAACAUCAUUAGCGGGUACAGUGGGCAACAUCAUUAGCGGGUACAGUGGGCAACAUCAUUAGCGGGUACAGUGGGCAACAUCAUUAGCAGGUACAGUGGGCAACAUCAUUAGCAGGUACAGUGGGCAACAUCAUUAGCGGGUACAGUGGGCAACAUCAUUAGCGGGUACAGUGGGCAACAUCAUUAGCAGGUACAGUGGGCAACAUCAUUAGCAGGUACAGUGGGCAACAUCAUUAGCAGGUACAGUGGGCAACAUCAUUAGCAGGUACAGUGGGCAACAUCAUUAGCAGGUACAGUGGGCAACAUCAUUAGCAGGUACAGUGGGCAACAUCAUUAGCGGGUACAGUGGGCAACAUCAUUAGCGGGUACAGUGGGCAACAUCAUUAGCAGGUACAGUGGGCAACAUCAUUAGCAGGUACAGUGGGCAACAUCAUUAGCAGGUACAGUGGGCAACAUCAUUAGCAGGUACAGUGGGCAACAUCAUUAGCAGGUACAGUGGGCAACAUCAUUAGCAGGUACAGUGGGCAACAUCAUUAGCGGGUACAGUGGGCAACAUCAUUAGCGGGUACAGUGGGCAACAUCAUUAGCGGGUACAGUGGGCAACAUCAUUAGCAGGUACAGUGGGCAACAUCAUUAGCAGGUACAGUGGGCAACAUCAUUAGCACUUUGGAAGCGAGAGGAAAUACGUUGCAAGCGUGUUGUAAGGAACAUGUUUGCUGGCCUCAUAAAUGCUAACCAGCUAGCUAAUAUUUAGAAAAUAAAUGUGGAUUUGGUUAGAGUUAUGGUAACCUGUUUGCAAUCCCUUUAGCUUUGCUUGCUGGCUAGCUACAGAGGUUAGCUGGCUAGUUAGCUACAGAGGUUAGCUGGCUAGUUAGCUACAGAGGUUAGCUGGCUAGUUAGCUACAGAGGUUAGCUGGCUAGUUAGCUACAGAGGUUAGCUGGCUAGUUAGCUACAGAGGUUAGCUGGCUAGUUAGCUACAGUGGUUAGCUACAGAGGUUAGCUGGCUAGUUAGCUACAGUAGUUUGCUGGCUAGUUAGCUACAGUAGUUUGCUGGCUAGUUAGCUACAGUAGUUUGCUGGCUAGUUAGCUACAGUAGUUUGCUGGCUAGUUAGCUACAGUAGUUAGCUACAAAGGUUAGCUGGCUAGUUAACCUUUGUAGCUAACUACUGUAGAUAACCUUUGUAGCUAACUACUGUAGCCAUCUACAGUAGUUAG